rnacentral:rRNA from 1 species
UACAGAGGUCCCAAGCGUUGUUCGGAUUCAUUGGGCGUAAAGGGUGCGUAGGCGGCGCGGUAAGUCGGGUGUGAAAUCUCGGGGCUUAACUCCGAAACUGCAUUCGAUACUGCCGUGCUUGAGGACUGGAGAGGAGACUGGAAUUUACGGUGUAGCGGUGAAAUGCGUAGAUAUCGAUAAGGAAGACCAGUGGCGAAGGCGGGUCUCUGGACAGUUCCUGACGCUGAGGCACGAAGGCCAGGGGAGCAAACGGGG